rnacentral:rRNA from 1 species
UUCCUACGGGGGGCAGCAGUGGGGAAUAUUGGACAAUGGGGGGAACCCUGAUCCAGCGACGCCGCGUGAGUGAAGAAGUAUUUCGGUAUGUAAAGCUCUAUCAGCAGGGAAGAAAAUGACGGUACCUGACUAAGAAGCCCCGGCUAACUACGUGCCAGCAGCCGCGGUAAUACGUAGGGGGCAAGCGUUAUCCGGAUUUACUGGGUGUAAAGGGAGCGUAGGCGGCAAGGUAAGCCAGAAGUGAAAGCCCGCGGCUCAACUGCGGGACU